UUUUCAAAAUAUCUUUAUAUUCGCAUCAAAAUAUUUCUUCUUUUGGUAAAAAAGAAAAAGAAAAAAAAGAGAGAGAUAAAAGGACAACUUUAGUCCCGACAGUCUUUUCAUUACCGUGAAAGAUACAUACGUGAGACUCAAAUCCAGAUUCGAUUCCCCCUCCAGAAUUUCCCAAAUUGAUCAAAAAGCUUCUUUCUCCGCCAAAUUCGUACGCUGUCAGAAAAACCUCAAACAACAUGGAACCGGAAAUCCAAGAGAGAAUCGAAAAGACAGUGGUGAGGAUUCUACAGGAGUCUGACAUGGAGGAGACCACGGAGCACAAGAUCCGGAAGCAGGCCGCCGCGGAGCUCCAACUCGACCUCUCCGACCCGCCUUACAAGGCCUUCGUCAAGCAGGUCGUACAGUCCUUCCUCGAACAACAACAACAACAACAACAACAAGAGGAAGAAGAGCAAGCAGAAGAAGAGGAAGAACGAGGAGACCCUCGUAAGGAGUACGAUGAUGAUGGCGACCUCAUCAUUUGCAGACUGUCAGACAAGAGAAAGGUGACAAUUCAAGAAUUCAGGGGGAAGACUCUGGUGUCGAUAAGGGAGUACUAUAAGAAAGAUGGGAAAGAUCUUCCUACUUCUAAAGGUAUAAGCAUGACCGAGGAGCAAUGGUCAACCUUCAAGAAGAACAUGCCUGCUAUAGAGAAAGCCAUUACAAAGAUGGAAUCACGGCUUAUGUGAUAAUUUGAACCUAGUUUCCUUAGUGGUUGUAAUAAAAAUGAUUUGACUUAUCGGUUUCCUGAUGGCAGAUCAUUUUGUUUAGAGCUUUAACUGCUGUUUCAAAUUGGUGCCAGAGUGCCUCAACUCUUUUAUGGCCAGUGUGGACCAGCUGAAUUACAUGCACCAAAUGAAUUUUAGCUAGCCUCUAGCUAAUCUGUACCUCUGCCAAAUCGGGGGUGUCUGCUUCUUGUCCCAGCUGGAAUGGACAAUUAAAAUAAUGUUCUUGAAUUUCGGAUUUGUAUAUUUCAUCUUUUCUAAUCAGCAGAAAUCCACUA